ACCAACAGCAGCAUCCUGAACAAAACAUGACAUCUCCAAACAUGAUCAGAUUGUUGUACGCCAUGAUUGUGGCCCUGCUUGUAGGAAAUGAAGUGCAAGCCAGGACACCGUGGAGCGGCUCUC